AGUGAACGCUGGCGGUAGGCCUAACACAUGCAAGUCGAACGGCAGCACAGUAAGAGCUUGCUCUUACGGGUGGCGAGUGGCGGACGGGUGAGGAAUACAUCGGAAUCUACUUUUUCGUGGGGGAUAACGUAGGGAAACUUACGCUAAUACCGCAUACGACCUACGGUUGAAAGCAGGGGAUCUUCGGACCUUGCGCGAUUGAAUGAGCCGAUGUCGGAUUAGCUAGUUGGCGGGGUAAAGGCCCACCAAGGCGACGAUCCGUAGCUGGUCUGAGAGGAUGAUCAGCGACACUGGAACUGAGACACGGUCAAGACUCCUACGGGAGGCAGCAGUGGGGAAUAUUGGACAAUGGGCGCAAGCCUGAUCCAGCCAUACCGCGUGGGUGAAGAAGGCCUUCGGGUUGUAAAGCCCUUUUGUUGGGAAAGAAAAGCAGCAGGUUAAUACCACGCUGUUCUGACGGUACCCAAAGAAUAAGCACCGGCCAACUUCGUG
rnacentral:rRNA from 1 species